rfam:Brachypodium distachyon strain Bd21 chromosome 1, whole genome shotgun sequence.
UUCUGCAUGACGAAGAAAAUCAAUCGGAUUCCCACUGAUUCUUCAUGAUUUGAACUACAGCUACUUCUGACAGAU